rnacentral:lncRNA from 1 species
UUUAAGCUUAAAUGCUUACAUUCUUUUAACGGGUCAAAAUGAAUUAUGCGCAUAACUUGGGUAUAUCUUGAAGUGUCGGAUGACGAUCAAGCUCAAUGAAGAACCGAACACGUUCAAAAUUUAAGCUUCCGCAUUACAUUUUGUCGUUACGCAAUCAAACGACGAUAUUAUGUUGAAAUGUUUUAAAUCUUAAGAUGUUUAAAAAAACUCGUAUUUUCAAGUGUAUGUGUAUUUGUAUAUACAUAUUUAGACGCGAAAUUUAUAUGAAAUUUCGU